rnacentral:piRNA from 1 species
UGCAUGUUUGCAAGGCAUUUCCAAGCCCACA